AGCGUCUUGGAACAGUGGCAGUUCGUUGGGCUCAUAUUCUCGCAUCGCGAGAAGGCACCCAAAAGUCCCUGGAUCGAGACCAGGAGACGCUA